rnacentral:rRNA from 1 species
AGGGGCUCGUAGGUGGUUGAUCGCGUCGGAAGUGUAAUCUUGGGGCUUAACCCUGAGCGUGCUUUCGAUACGGGUUGACUUGAGGAAGGUAGGGGAGAAUGGAAUUCCUGGUGGAGCGGUGGAAUGCGCAGAUAUCAGGAGGAACACCAGUGGCGAAGGCGGUUCUCUGGGCCUUUCCUGACGCUGAGGAGCGAAAGCGUGGGGAGCGAACAGGCUUAGAUACCCUGGUAGUCCACGCUGUAAACGGUGGGUACUAGGUGUGGGGUCCAUUCCACGGGUUCCGUGCCGUAGCUAACGCUUUAAGUACCCCGCCUGGGGAGUACGGCCGCAAGGCUAAAACUCAAAGGAAUUGACGGGGCCCCGCACAAGCGGCGGAGCAUGCGGAUUAAUUCGAUGCAACGCGUAGAACCUUACCUGGGUUUGACAUGGAUCGGGAGUGCUCAGAGAUGGGUGUGCCUCUUUUGGGGUCGGUUCACAGGUGGUGCAUGGCUGUCGUCAGCUCGUGUCGUGAGAUGUUGGGUUAAGUCCCGCAACGAGCGCAACCCCUGUUCACUGUUGCCAGCACGUUAUGGUGGGGACUCAGUGGAGACCGCCGGGGUCAACUCGGAGGAAGGUGGGGAUGACGUCAAGUCAUCAUGCCCCUUAUGUCCAGGGCUUCACGCAUGCUACAAUGGCUGGUACAGAGAGUGGCGAGCCUGUAAGGGUGAGCGAAUCUCGGAAAGCCGGUCUCAGUUCGGAUUGGGGUCUGCAACUCGACCUCAUGAAGUCGGAGUCGCUAGUAAUC